rnacentral:rRNA from 1 species
UACGAAGGGUGCAAACGUUGCUCGGAGUUAUUGGGCGUAAAGCGCACGUAGGCGGCUUGGCAAGUCGGAUGUGAAAGCCCUCGGCUCAACCAAGGAAGUGCAUCCGAAACUGCUGAGCUUGAGUACUUAAGAGGAUCGCGGAAUUCCCGGUGUAGAGGUGAAAUUCGUAGAUAUCGGGAGGAACACCAGUGGCGAAGGCGGCGAUCUGGGAAGAUACUGACGCUGAGGUGCGAAAGCGUGGGGAGCAAACAGG